UCUGAUGAAGUGACAGAAGCAGGCUUCAGAAGAUGGGUAAUAACAAUCUGACCUAAAAGAACAUGUUCUAACCCAGCGCAAAGAAACUAGGAACCUUGAGCAAAGGUUACAGGAAAUUGUAACUAGAAUGGGCAGCAUAGAGAG